CUGAGCUUUAGAGCUGAGCACACUGUCCGGGUGCAGAGGAGAGAGAGGGGAGCGCGGUGGGAGGGAGGGAGGCAGGGCACGUUCCAUCGCAUCGCUGUGUGACCGCUGCUGCCCAUCGCCUUGCAUCGCAGCAACCUCGGUCAACAACUUACUGAGGUUCCUUUUCUUUUGCAAGAGGAUGUCAGCUCAGAGCCUCAGCAAGAAAUAACAGGCUUCACCUUGGAAUAGUUCAUUCACUCCUGCUUCAUUAAAGAGGAUUUUGAAAAGAAAACCGAAACCAAGUCCCCUUUCCAGCCCCACUUUGUUCCAGAAUUGAACAGAAACAGUUUUCUGCUCCAGAUUUUUUUCUGUACACAAACUGGAAUUCAUGCCAGGGAAAAGGUCAACUGGUAAAGUUCCUAGAAUUGGUUGAUCUGAACCCCAUGGACACAAUCACAGCAAUAUAUAAGAAAAUAUAUCAUCAAACAUUCCUAAAUUGAAUUUCAAGGUAAAAUUUUAUAUGUAACAUCUACUAAAAAUGUUAUAGAAAUGUAAAAACUGUUGUCAUAUAGUUUCUCUUAAAGAUCUUUAUAGCUAUUCUGAAAUAUAUAGAGGUUAAGGUAGAGCAAUUUUCUUUUGUGUUUUAAAAUCACUCUUUAAAAAUAAUAUAUUAUUAUUAUUAUAUUAUAUUAUUAAUGGAUAAUAUAUUAUCCACUAUUUUCUCUAAUAAAUUUUGGGACUCUUUUUCA
rnacentral:lncRNA from 1 species